UAGUCCAUGCCCUAAACGAUGCUUACUCGAUGUUUGGGUUUAUCCUGAGCAUCCAAGGGAAACCGUUAAGUAAGCCACCUGGGGAGUACGUUCGCAAGAAUGAAACUCAAAGGAGUUGACGGGGGCCCGCACAAGCGGUGGAGCAUGUGGUUUAAUUCGAUGAUACGCGAGGAACCUUACCAGGGCUUAAAUGUAGUCUGACAGGGCCAGAAAUGGCUUUUUCUUCGGACAGAUUACAAGGUGCUGCAUGGUUGUCGUCAGCUCGUGCCGUGAGAUGUUGGGUUAAGUCCCGCAACGAGCGCAACCCUCAUUUUUAGUUGCCUUAUGGAACUCUAAAAAGCUGCCGGUUAUAAACCGGAGGAAGGCGGGGACGACGUCAAGUCAGCAUGCCCCUUACGGGUAGGGCUACACACGUGCUACAAUGGUCGGUACAAAGGGUUGCCAAGCCGCGAGGUGGAGCUAAUCUCAUAAAACCGAUCGUAGUCCGGAUUGGAGUCUGCAACUCGACUCCAUGAAGUCGGAAUCG
rnacentral:rRNA from 1 species